rnacentral:lncRNA from 1 species
CUUUAAAAACAGAAUUUUAAGUGACUGUAAAGCAUUCACUCUCCAUGGAGGAAUCAGAGACGUAUUUCCAAAAUAAAUUGAGAAAUAUUUCUAAUAAGGCAGUGUUUAUCUGUUUGGAAUGUGUUCAAGUGCAGACAAAUUUCUGAAGCAAGAGGCUUAUUGGGAGAAUAAGCCAUAGUAAUAAACACCAGCUUCAGAUUUCAGUCAGAUGACAACCUCUUUCCAUUUUCAACACUGAAGAAAAUUAACAGAAAUUAAUAGAUAGCACACACACUUGAAAAUCGAAAUUUGAGAGCUGGAUGCUAACUUAGAAAAGAUAUUACUUAAUAAUAUUGCUACAGCAAGAAGCCUGCUAAAAUACAAGUAAUUGCCACUUGUGGUUUAAUUAUUCCAUUUUCUCAAGAACGUAGUUUGGAGCUCAAGUAUGCAUAUUAGGUAGCGAUUAACCUUCAAUAGCAAUGUAGAGGACACAAAUAGCUUGUUUAAGCAUCUCUCUCCUUGAAAUGCCACUAAAAUGAAUUAAAUUCCAAUUUCUAUUCACAGAUUAGAGCAAAUUGCUCAUUAUUGUCAGGCGGAUGGAGACCUUGUGACAAAUGGGAGGACACUGGAGUUAGAAAUGACUGCCUGCAAGAAGACAGAUACUUGGGGAAAGAGAAUACAGACAGAAGGACGCAAAGGGAGAUCUACAGAGGCAAGUCCACAGUAAAGAAGAGAAGCAGAAAUCUGGAAACCUACAGAGAGAGACAACAGCCUGGAGGCCUUUGAUAGACUUUCCUCUUCACCUGGCCUGAAAGCAUUAGAGCAGGUGAGCAUCUCCUGUAACCACCCUUCAGUACACCAAUGAACUCUCCACUACUUGGAAAUUGUCCCUUUUCAGGGACAAAAAUAAUUUUUUCCAGUGUUUUUAAAAGCUUUAUUGAGAUAUAAUUGAUAUACAAAAAUUUGCACACAUUUAAUGUAUACAUCUUGAUGAAUUUGGAUAUAUGCAUCCAC